UGUUAACCGAAAGGUUGGUGGUUC
rnacentral:piRNA from 3 species